AUUGCUUCUCGGCCAUUUGGCAAAGAUCAAGUGUAGUUACCUGUUCGUAUCAACUUUAGUAUCUGAUAUGUCCUCUACGUGAGGACAAUUUAUUAGGUGCAUUUCUGGAGCAGUGAGAUGGAAGAGCGUGCUCUGCCCACUCUGUGCAAUGACCUGGUACCACAGUACUUCGGGGGAUGGUGCAUACACA